UCCCCCUUAGCGCCUAAAAAUUCGAGACAAACUGCACAAGGCAAUAACUACUGGCCAUCACGACCAAGGUCACCUCCCCUCAAGAAUUUGGAAACCAAUUUGGACGCGUCGCAUACCCUUCAGCGCACAACAGGUAAGUGAUAUAUUUUUACUACACUUAACGCCUAAUAACCCCAAUAUCAUCUAUCCCCUCUCAACUUAAACACACUUCCUCGCACACCUCAUCUCACUGUUGCUGCUCGAAUUGAUCAAACACUCAGGUACAUAGGUUCACAAUGGCGGCAACAAGAAAAACGUCCAAGCAA